rnacentral:rRNA from 1 species
UACGUAGGGGGCGAGCGUUGUCCGGAAUCAUUGGGCGUAAAGCGCGUGUAGGCGGCUUGGUAAGUCCGGUGUGAAACCUUGGGGCUCAACCCCAAGCCUGCACUGGAUACUGCCUCGCUUGAGUCCGGGAGGGGAGAGCGGAAUUCCUAGUGUAGCGGUGAAAUGCGCAGAUAUUAGGAAGAACACCGGUGGCGAAGGCGGCUCUCUGGAACGGUACUGACGCCGAGACGCGAAAGCGUGGGGAGCGAACAGG